UGGGGAAUAUUGCACAAUGGGCGCAAGCCUGAUGCAGCCAUGCCGCGUGUAUGAAGAAGGCCUCCGGGUUGUAAAGUACUUUCAGCGGGGAGGAAGGGAGUAAAGUUAAUACCUUUGCUCAUUGACGUUACCCGCAGAAGAAGCACCGGCUAACUCCGUGCCAGCAGCCGCGGUCAUACGGAGGGUGCAAGCGUUAAUCGGAAUUACUGGGCGUAAAGCGCACGCAGGCGGUUGAUUGAGUCAGAUGUGAAAUCCCCGGGCUUAACCCGGGAAUUGCAUCUGAUACUGGUCAGCUAGAGUCUUGUAGAGGGGGGUAGAAUUCCAUGUGUAGCGGUGAAAUGCGUAGAGAUGUGGAGGAAUACCGGUGGCGAAGGCGGCCCCCUGGACAAAGACUGACGCUCAGGUGCGAAAGCGGGGGGAGCAAACAGG
rnacentral:rRNA from 1 species